rnacentral:tRNA from 1 species
GAAUGGCACAAUGGCUCAGUGUGUCUGACUGUUAACCAGAAGGUUGGUGGUUUGAGCCAACCAAGGGACA